rnacentral:lncRNA from 1 species
GCACGCGAUCUCCGUUGCUUUCAAUGUUGGUGUUUGGCUCAAAUCUGAACUUGUGGGUGCUGUUUGGGAGGGUUAAGAUGGUGGUAAUGGAGUUGGUGUGGUAGGUCAAGGGUGGGGUUGGAGCGCCGGCGUUGGGGGCCUGGGUGGUGGCGUUGCUGAGUUUGAGUUCUGGAGGUGGUGUUGUUGCAGUGUUGGUGAGGGUUUGGGUGACUCGGGUAGGGAACGAGUUGACACAGUGAGUCCCAGCAGUGGUGAGAGGAGUUGUUGCGACCGAAACAUAAUUUAAGGCAAGUCGUUAAAUUUUACUUUAAGAAAUUUGAUUUUCACCAACGAUUUCUUUUUUGGGUAGGCAGUUUAAAGAAUUUGAUCUAAAUAAGUUACAAGGUAUUGAUGAAAAUAAGCGUUGGAGUUUCAUCUACUAUCUUUAUCUUUGUAUGGGCAGUGAAAGUGACGAGUGAAGCCAUCAAACGUGGGUAGCAGCAACGAGCAAGAGAAGUACUGAGACCCCGGAAAAUAACCAUUAUUAUCCUAUCUAAUACAAUGGUCCCCUCUCCAUUGCGAACAGGAAAUAGCACACUUUUCUGGAAGAAAAUGACCAAACGCAUACCAUCAAAUAAUAGGACCAGAAAUAACCAAGCAAUCCUUUGCCCUCAAAUUUCAAUCAGGUUUGAAUAAAGUGACAAUUAACAACAUAUUAUAUAUAGGUAACUACAUCUGCAAAUGGUAGCUAUAUGCCUAUAUGUGUUUACGGUGACCAUAAGACCAAAACCAAUAACGUUAUUUAUCACGGUAACCACUUUUUGCAAGUAUCUUCUUCCGGAGAAAUUAUUGUUUGAAGCACCAUAUACUGUUUAUUUAUUGUAUGAAGCAAGUCCAC